AGAGUUUGAUCAUGGCUCAGGAUGAACGCUGGCGGUGUGCCUUAGGCAUGCAAGUCGAACGGCUUUGUAGCAAUACAAAGCAGUGGCAGACGGGUGAGUAACACGUAGGAAUGUACCUGGAAAUGGGGGAUAGCUCGCCGAAAGGCGGGGUAAUACCGCAUGUGGUCGCAAGAUCAAAGACGCAAGUCGUUUCCAGAGCAGCCUGCGCGCUAUCAGUUAGUUGGUGAGGUAACGGCUCACCAAGACUACGACGGCUAGCCGAUGUGAGAGCAUGAUCGGCCACAAAGUUACUGAGACACGGAACUUACACCUACGGGUGGCAGCAACCGGGAAUAUUGCGCAAUGGACGAAAGUCUGACGCAGCGACACCGCGUGUGGGAAGACGCUUUUCGGAGUGUAAACCACUGUGGCGAGGGAGAAAGAUCUGAUAGUACCUCGCUAGAAAGCACCAGCUAACCACGUGCCAGAAGCUUCGGUAAUACGUGGGGUGCAAGCGUUAUCCGGAUUUACUGGGCGUAAAGGGUCUGUCGGCGUUCUUUUACGUCUCUUGUUCAAUCCCAGGGCUCAACUCUGGAUCGGCAAGGGAAACGGGAAGAAUAGAGUGUGUUCGAGGAAACUAGAAUUCUCGGUGGAGGGGUGAAAUCCGUAGAUAUCGAGAGGAAUACCAUGCGCGAAGGCAGGUUUCUAGGACAUUACUGACGCUCAGAGACGAAAGCUUGGGGAGCAAAUGGGAUUAGAGACCCCAGUAGUCCAAGCCGUAAACAUUCCUUGCUAGUUGUUUCACUCUUGAAGUGGGAUGACGUAAGCUAACGCGUUAAGCAAGGCGCCUGGGGAGUACGACCGCAAGGUUAAAACUCAA
rnacentral:rRNA from 1 species